GUACUUACCUGGCAGGGGAGAUACCAUGAUCACGAAGGGUUUUCCCAGGGCAAGUCUUAUCCAUUGCACUCCGGAUGUGCUGACCCCUGCGAUUUCCCCAAAUGUGGGAAACUCAACCGCAUAAUUUGUGGUAGUGGGGGACUGCAUUCGCGCUCUCCCCUG
rnacentral:snRNA from 1 species